AUUUGUAAUAAAAAAUAUUAUUUAACGUUAUAGUCCAAUUAUUUUUUAUUUUUUUGCGAAAUUGCUGUGAUUUUUCGUUAUUUUAUUGCAAAUUUUUAAUUAAAUUUUUAAUGGGUUUUAAAAAUAUAUAAUAAGGGGUUUUUGCUUUUAUUACAUCCUUCGUUUUCCUACGGGUAAUUAUAUAUAUUUUCGCAUAUAAUUGUCCCAAAAAAGGUAAAAUAGCUUAUUUAGGUUGCGAAACCCCUGCGGAUAAAUAAAAAUUACCAAACUUUUUUUUAUUUUAACCCCGUAUUAAUAAUUUUUUUUAUAAUAGGGGUAAAAGGCCGUUUAUAAUAAUGGAUAUUUUGUGGUUAAGCCGUUUCGACGGUCCGUUAACAGGGUUUUGUUUCUUUGCACGGUAAAUAAUUUCAAAAUUAAAAAAGGACAAAUAUAUUAUCCAACGCGUUUAUUUUCUAUUAAAUUUGGGUGUUUUUAUAAAAUUUUGCAAAUUUUAAUAAUUUGUAAUUAUAAUUAUUGGCGAUACGUUAUUUUUUAAAUAAUAUUUCUAAUAUUUAAAAAUUUCGAUUAUAAUACCCAUUUUUGGUCCGGGAUUCCCCAAUUUAAUUAGGCUCCAAACCAUUUUUUGGAUUAAAAAACGAUAGGGUGCCAACCGUUUUUAAAAAAUUAUAAUAAAAUCGCCCCCCACGCGUAUAUCGAAAUAUCGGUUUCCAAACGUAUAGGGAAUAAAAAAUUGUAAUAACGUAAUAAAAACGCCUAAAGGAACGUAAUCUUCAAUUUUUUAAAAAUUAUUAAGGCAAUAUUACGUUUUAAAAGCGUAAUAUCCCCGGAUUUCCUCCUUUUUUUUAUAUUUUUAAACAAAUUUGAUAAAAAACGUGCAAUGGAUAAAUAACGAUAAAUAAAACGGCGAUAAAAAUUGCAAAACCCCAAAAAAAUCUAAAUAUUAUAAUAUAAUUUGGGUGCAAACCAUUUUUGGAUAGCGGUUACCCUGCGUGGAUCCAUAAAUAUUUCCUGCGUAUCGAUUAUAUAACCCAAAAAUUUAAUUUUUUAUAUAUAAAAUUCGCAUUUAAACAAUUUAACGUAAAAGUUCGCCUCCCUAAAUUUUUCCAAAAUUUCCCGUAUAUAUUUUUUAUAAAUUUUUUUAUUAGAGGAAUAAAUUAAAAUAUUAUCCAAAUAUACUACGCAAUAGCGAUCCACGAAAUUUUUUAAAAUUUCCUGUAUAUAAUUUUGGAAAAUCGUUGAAAUAUU
rnacentral:sRNA from 1 species